rnacentral:tRNA from 13 species
GCCCGGGUAGCUCAGUCGGUAGAGCAGGGGAUUGAAAAUCCCCGUGUCGGCGGUUCGAUUCCGUCCCCGGGCACCA